rnacentral:lncRNA from 1 species
UUCAGAAGUUGCCCAACAUCUAUGGAAAAAUGACUUGAUUGAUGAACCAGCUAUAUUUAGCAGGUUGGCUUUAUUGGAGAACUGUUAAACAUUUGAUAUUCAUAAUGUUCGCAAGGCUUUUAAGAAAAUAGUUUUCAUUGCACUGGCGACAAUUCGGAAUGGCGAGGUGCGAAUGAAUCGGAUUAAAAGUCAGCGUGGAAAUGCAAUAGCUGGCAAGAAAUGAGAGGACGAUUGGUGAUGAGACAAUUUAUUCUAAUCGCUGUAACUCAUGGACACGUCGACAUUCGUGGUAAUCAAACUUAGAACGUCUGCAAUGCGAAAUUUUUCACCAAUAUAAAGGAAAGCUGCAAACAUAUUUUCAGCAUUUUUAAUAAAAAAAUAAGCGCGUUCAUUCCCUUCAACCAAUUGUCAACCCGAGGGCAAAUAAAUAAAAAAUGUCCGCUUAAAAUAAAUACUAUUUUCAAAAGAUUUUUGAAUUUUUAGCUCCGUAGGAACCUUCCAUACGUCACUUUUAUUGUAGCUGACAGUGACUGUAAUUAUGGCUUACUUAGCCCAUGCUUAUCCAGAGCUGCCUUCUUGAUCCCCGCCCUAAAAACUAUCAUCUUCAAAAGCUUCCAGGUUUGUUGUGGUCGUAGAACAGCAGACGACGAAGUUCAAAGCGGCAUUGUACCAUCGGGCAGAAUCCAAACGGUUGAUGCAUUGAAAAUGUCGGAGCUCUGUUGAUGAAUUUUCACCAGCACUCUUCCACAAGACGCGCGCGAAGCAAACGAUAGCAAAGGAGAUAUGGACUUGAAUUGGUUGUUUACCACCCGUGGCUUUCCCGCAUCCCAGGAUUAGUCUUGUACACCUUUUGCACUUGUACAGAGCGUUCGGGAACGAAAUUAGUUGUGGAUGGGUUUGCUGUUGACAAGCAAGGGAAGGAUUUUUACUACCAAACUAGAUAGGAAUGAAAUUUGUUGUGGCUGGUUUGGUUGUUGACAAGCAAGGGAAGGAUUUUUUUACCAAAGUAGACAGGAUAUUUAUUCUUAAUCCCACAAUGUCUUGACUACAAAUCAUGCUGAAUUAGAAUAGUAUGUUGAUCGAGGCUGGGUGCCAAAGCAAUGGAGGAUAAUUGUAAGCGCGAUUGGAAAUCUCCAUGAUUUAUUAACGUUCUCUCAUGUUACGGUAUUUUAUUAAAGACAAAUUGAAGUGUA